UGGACUGAUAAAGGGAGCUGUAAAUUAUUUUUGUUGAAGUACAAUGUCGUUUUGACCAUAUUAAUGUACCAGAUCUAACUCAUAUUAAUAUUACAAUAGUAUAGAAAAAUACUAUACAUACAUUUAUAGGUAAAAUCAAACUCCUAUAACCUCCUUUACUCAUUCUGUGACGUCAAACAACUUCCCAAAGGAUCAUAUAGGGGCCCGAAGUGUCCAUCAGUUGCACCCUUCAAAAUCCUUCAUUCAGAAGAGCCCUUUGAAGUGGCAAAUUUUGAGCACUUCGGUUCGGAACGACCCUUCAAUAUGGCGGCCAUGAUUAUUUUCACUCCGAAGUGCCCUUCGGAGGGCGAUAUAUCCCAUUUGGAACGCAUCCACCCGGUAUCAAUGAAGCCAUGAUUUUACACACUCCAAUACAGGAGGUGGCGGCAUGCACCUUUUACGAUGGUCUGGAACACCAAGAAACUAAACGAAGAAGAGGUUAGCCAGCCGCCAAAAAAAAAAAAAAAAAAACGAAAAGAAGCAGCAGCAGCUUUGUUAACAUUUAUCAAGAUGCCGCGACGCUCACGUAAACAAGCUGUCCAGGUGAACAUGGACAGUGAUGAAGAGUUCACCAUUUCCUCGGAAGAAGACGAAAACUUUGAAGAUGAGCGCUUGCAUUUUGAGGAUCGAAUUGAUCCAGUGGUGGACACCAACGAUGGGGAAACCAUGCAUUCAUAUUGCUUUCUCUGAGUGACUGGAUCAUCCUCAUGCAGCACUGCAAACCAUAGCGGAGACUACAAGAACAUGUAGAAAAGGACAGACGAAAUGCUUGACAUGCAGUUUAUUACAAAUUUAUAAAUCCAUUGCACUAAAUCAGUGCAAAAGUCAAUGUGUGUGUAUAAUCAUGUUUUGUUUUAGAAUUACAUAUAUUGUGUAUGAAUGUAUAUAGUAAUAUGUGAAUGGGGUGCAUACGAAUUGUUAACAUUAAGAUAAAUUAAAUUUCACUUAAUUAAAUUUUACAUUUCACUU